CAGUAGCCACGGUAAUACGUAGGUGGCAAGCGUUGUCCGGAAUUAUUGGGCGUAAAGGGCUCGCAGGCGGUUUCUUAAGUCUGAUGUGAAAGCCCCCGGCUCAAUCGGGGAGGGUCAUUGGAAACUGGGAAACUUGAGUGCAGAAGAGGAGAGUGGAAUUCCACGUGUAGCGGUGAAAUGCGUAGAGAUGUGGAGGAACACCAGUGGCGAAGGCGACUCUCUGGUCUGUAACUGACGCUGAGGAGCGAAAGCGUGGGGAGCGAACAGGAUUAGAUACCCCGGUAGUCCCUGUCUCUUAUAU
rnacentral:rRNA from 1 species